GCGGCUGUAGUCCAGUGGCAGGACACAGGCCCCCCAAGCCUGUAGCCCGGGUUCGAAUCCCGGCAGCCGCA
rnacentral:tRNA from 1 species